CCUACGGGCGACAGCAGUCGAGAAUCAUUCACAAUGGGGGAAACCCUGAUGGUGCGACGCCGCGUGGGGGAAUGCAGGUCUUCGGAUUGUAAACCCCUGUCAUGUGGGAGCAAAUUAAAAAGAUAGUACCACAAGAGGAAGAGACGGCUAACUCUGUGCCAGCAGCCGCGGUAAUACAGAGGUCUCAAGCGUUGUUCGGAAUCACUGGGCGUAAAGGGUGCGUAGGCUGUUUCGUAAGUCGUGUGUGAAAGGCGCGGGCUCAACCCGCGGACGGCACAUGAUACUGCGAGACUAGAGUAAUGGAGGGGGAAGCGGAAUUCUUGGUGUAGCAGUGAAAUGCGUAGAUAUCGAGAAGAACACUCGUGGCGAAGGCAGGUUCCUGGACAUUAACUGACGCUGAGGCACGAAGGCCAGGGGAGCGAAAGGGAUUAGAUACCCUAGUAGUC
rnacentral:rRNA from 1 species